AGCGAACGCUGGCGGCAGGCCUAACACAUGCAAGUCGAACGAAGUCUUCGGACUUAGUGGCGGACGGGUGAGUAACACGUGGGAACGUACCUUUUGGUUCGGAACAACUCAGGGAAACUUGAGCUAAUACCGGAUGCGCCCUUCGGGGGACAGAUUUAUCGCCAUUAGAGCGGCCCGCGUUAGAUUAGCUAGUUGGUGGGGUAAAGGCUCACCAAGGCUACGAUCUAUAGCUGGUCUGAGAGGAUGAUCAGCCACACUGGGACUGAGACACGGCCCAGACUCCUACGGGAGGCAGCAGUGGGGAAUCUUGCGCAAUGGGCGAAAGCCUGACGCAGCCAUGCCGCGUGAAUGAUGAAGGUCUUAGGAUUGUAAAAUUCUUUUACCAGGGACGAUAAUGACGGUACCUGGAGAAAAAGCCCCGGCUAACUUCGUGCCAGCCGCCGCCGUAA
rnacentral:rRNA from 1 species